rnacentral:rRNA from 1 species
UACGGAGGGCGCUAGCGUUGUUCGGAAUUACUGGGCGUAAAGCGUACGUAGGCGGCUUUGUAAGUUAGCGGUGAAAGCCCGGGGCUCAACCCCGGAAUUGCCUUUAAGACUGCAUCGCUUGAAUCCAGGAGAGGUGAGUGGAAUUCCGAGUGUAGAGGUGAAAUUCGUAGAUAUUCGGAAGAACACCAGUGGCGAAGGCGGCUCACUGGACUGGUAUUGACGCUGAGGUGCGAAAGCGUGGGGAGCAAACAGG